CCUCAAGCUAGCAUGAGGAUGUGGGGAGCAGCAUCCCUCAGUUCAGACUGGAUGAUCCACAUGAGAAAACACCAUCAUUAGUGGAUGUAAACAUGGUCCCUAACCUUUACAGACCGAUAUCAAGGAUCAAAAGAGCAGAGGAUUUUCUUCCAAUAGACUCAGUUGAAUCCUGUCUUUCCAAGUAAAGUGGAUACUGGCAUUCAUGAGUUUCUCUUCAUUCUCAAAGAUUGACAAGCCUAGAGGAUGAGGCUGUCUAUUCAUAGAGCAGGUUUGGCGUGGGCAGCAGCCCCCACUGUUCCCCUCGCUGUCCUGCUGGUGUCAGCCCUGACCUCGGGAGCUGCUCGGAGCCCAGGGCUGCAGCCCUUCCAGAGCCCUUCUCCAGGUGACUGAUGCUCAGUGCCAGAGCAGAAGUGGCUCUGCAGAGCCAACAGCUCCUCCCAGACAUUGCAUUCAUCACUCACCAGCCGAGCUGCUCUGAGCUUGCACUUCCAAACAACCAUCUGAAUUCCUGCCCCAGCCAAUCUUUUUCAUUCUGUCUCGUCUUUCAUUCUCUUAACCACUGCUCACUUCAGAUGGCAUAAUUAAAAUCUAGGAGCAAAAUAUGGGUCUUCUCUCGUGCAAAAUUAUUUUAAGUAUUACUAGUAUAGUCAAAGAAAUAAGAAAAUAAAAUUUUACAAGUUGUUGUUUAUUUAAUGUUUCCUUAAUAUAGACAGCAGGUUAACACAGGGUAAAAAAAGGAAGUGCCAUAAAUUAACCUUUGCAGUUUAUUUUUCUCUUACAGAAUCACAGAAUAAUGAGGUUGGAGGAGACCUCUAAGGUCAUCGAGUCCAACCU